GCUGUGUCCAGACCCAAAGCCUGGUUCCUAAGUACCUACUGACUCCUAGACCUGCCGCCUAAAACCAUGCAUCUUGGUCUCAGUCCAGGAAGCAGAGGGAGGACAGGAAGUCCAAGAAGCAGAUGUAAGCCACGGGCUGCUGAGGUGUCAAGUGUUCACGGGUGACUUCACCAGGAAGAAGAGAAUCAGUUUGCAAAGGCGAAUGGUAACUGGCUUGCAGGGACCUGACUGAAGAUGGUCCACAUCACCUACUGCUGAAACAAGAGGAUCAAAACUGAGGCUGAAUACUACCACCGGAUCCAAAUCUGCUCUCUUUUUCUCACCAAGCAGUUCCUACAACAUGAGUCUUCUAUGCUAUAUCCUGCACAUGAUAAGAGACCUCAAAGACACCAUGGGGCGGAGACCCUGGCACCCAUACUAGCUCCCCAUCCUACUCUCCAACCAAAGCUGCCACCCUAGCAUUUAUAUGUAGGCAUCCCAUGUAAUAUUUUGUUGAAC